AACUGCAUCCUCGUCAGAUCCUAUAAGCUUCCUAGAAGCUUCACUGGCAUCAUUGCCGUGCCACGUCCCACCAAGCCAUAGCUAUAUAUAAAGGAGGCCCAUCCUGAUGAGCCGGCGAGAGGCUGCACCAACGACUCCAUUAGCAAUUGAGCCUGUGAGCGAGCGAUGGACCACCAGGCGCUCCUCCUCCUCCUAGUCGUCGUCGCGGCGGCGGCGUGCGUCGACGUGGCCGUGACCGGCGCCCCGGCGGCCUGGCCCGUGGCUCUGGCCGCCUACUCCGUCUGGGCUCUCGCCUCCCUCGCGCUGGCCGUGCUCCUCCCGCGCCGCCGCCGCCGCCCCGACCCCGAGUGAUCCAAGAGACCAAGACUGCGCCUCCGGCUGCCGCCGCCACCGAGAUUAAUCCAUAUCCAUGAAUGAAAGGCUCGCCGGAGGAGAUUCACUCCACAAUCCCGCUCCCCAGUUUCGCCGUCGAUCGGAUCCACGUACUCCGUCCCCCCUCUAAUCUAAGGUGCGUAUUAUUACAUGGCAGAAUCGAGUUUGUGGAGAAGCACAAAUCUAGAUCUAGUUGUCCAGUUCUUCAUAUCUUCCAAGAACAACAAGGGCAGGUCUCGCAGAGCUUCAGGGACCAAAAGGCAGCAGGGCACGGCAAAGAGAACUAGUCGCUGACUCCACUGUCCAUCUGCUACUAGUAUUAGUAUAUAGUAGUAUAUGUUUGUAUUAAUUUGUACUGGUAUAUAGUAUUGCUGAAGAACAGAGGGUGAACAUGUGUAUAGGUCUGUUUUGCUACUAUAAUAAUAUACUAUGCAGAACGCAUUAAAUAAAUUUGUGCCGAUUGUGCAGA